AUCUCUUCCAUGAGUUUUCUGGCAAGCUGCCAGACUUUCUCCAUAGAUAACCAUCUUCAGUGACUAAAGAGUUUCAUAACUGCACAAGAGUCUUCAGCUACUGUGUCACUCCAUCCUUAUCACAUGGAACAGAUUGGAACUUUUAUCCGUCCUGAGUGACUGAGACUGCAGUCUGCCCCUGUUCAUCGGCAGGUAUCAUCAGGAAUAGGGUGGCAUUCCAGGAAACAAACUUUUCCUUCCUGUUCUCUGCCUGUAGCAGAAAAUAGACAAGCCCAGCAGAUGUCCAGGGAUGGCGGAGGAGUACUGCAGCUUCCUUGGAGAGAAGCAGGCGCUCCAGGGAGCCUUGGGCCACAGUAUUUUUAAACCCUUUGUGGCCGCCUGUUCGCAGUCUCCUGUGACUUCGAUGAACCAGAUCCAGAGAGUUUCUCAUGGGAAUCCAGGACGCUUUGCCACAACUGCUGGCUUCACUUGCCUGUGUUUGGGGCCCUUGUUAAUGCAGCCCUUGGGGUUUUGCUUCGUGUCUUCAAGACUUGGGAAGCAGCAGACCCUGUGGAGGCACCGGGAAUGUGGUAGGGAGGCUGUCUUCACGGGGCGUUGCAAGGACGACUGCCCUAGGCCUAUAAAGACUUGCUGGCUUUGUGGAUGGAGCAGUUCAGGUUGACGGCUAAACUUCAGGCAUCUUCAUGCAAACUUGGGCACUAGCAAGAGAGAUUCAGCUCUCACUACUUUCUAAGGGCCCUUUCAUGUGGAAGUUCUUGUUAUUGUUGUGGUGGUUUGUUUCCUGUGUAUUAUCCAGCUUUAGUCAAGAUAUUGUGUAGGGGACUUCCCUGGUGGUCCAGUGGCUGAGACUCCACGCUCCCAAUGCAGGACGCCUAGGUUCCAUCCCUGGUCAGGGAGCUAGAUCCCACAUGUCCUAACUAAGAGUUUGCACGGGUCAACUAGAAAAAAAAAAAAAUUGUGCAUACCACAACUAAGGCUCAGUGCAGCCAAAUAAAUAAAUAUGAAAAAAAAUAUUCUGUAAAUAUAUGGUCUGUCCCAUCCCUUCACCUUUGCUCUUCCCAGUAACCGAGAAGAGCAGUUAUUUAAGAUAAAGUUAUUUAUCUUUCUGAUGCUCUU
ensembl:lincRNA